GAUGAAGAACGCAGCGAAAUGCGAUAAGUAAUGUGAAUUGCAGAAUUCAGUGAAUCAUCGAAUCUUUGAACGCACAUUGCGCCCGCCAGUAUUCUGGCGGGCAUGCCUGUUCGAGCGUCAUUACAACCCUCAGGCCCCCGGGCCUGGCGUUGGGGAUCGGCGGAGCCCCCCGUGGGCACACGCCGUCCCCCAAAUACAGUGGCGGUCCCGCCGCAGCUUCCAUCGCGUAGUAGCUAACACCUCGCGACUGGAGAGCGGCGCGGCCAUGCCGUAAAACACCCAACUCUUCUGAAGUUGACCUCGAAUCAGGUAGGAAUACCCGCUGAACUUAAGCAUAUCAAUAAGCGGAGGA
rnacentral:misc_RNA from 1 species